GAGGAUGUAGCUCAGUGGUAGAGUGCGUGCCUAGCAUGCAUAAGGUCCUGGGUUCAAUCCUCACUAUCUGCA
rnacentral:tRNA from 1 species